GUACACGCUGUGACUAGCAUAUCAAUAAGCGGAGGAAAAGAAACUAACAAGGAUUCCCCUAGUAACGGCGAGUGAAGCGGGAAGAGCUCAAAUUUGAAAUCUUAAAGGGUUUCCCUUUACGAAUUGUAGUUUAAAGAAGUGUUUUCUGUUGAGGUUUUGGUAAAAGUUCUUUGGAAUAGGACAUCAUAGAGGGUGAGAAUCCCGUAUUUGACCUUUACUUUCAACUUUGUGAUACACUUUCAAAGAGUCGGAUUGUUUGGGAAUGCAGUCCAAAAUGGGUGGUAAAUUUCAUCUAAAGCUAAAUAUUGGCGGGAGACCGAUAGCGAACAAGUACCGUGAGGGAAAGAUGAAAAGAACUUUGAAAAGAGAGUUAAACAGUACGUGAAAUUGUCAAAAGGGAAGCGUUUGAUACCAGUGUUGUUUUUCUGAAAAUCAAUUAAAGAACUGUUUAUGCUAAGUUGUUUAGACUUUAUCAGCUAACUGUUUAGUUUUGAGCUUUUCUUUAAUGCACUUUUCAGUUAACAAGUCAACAUCAAUUUCUUUUGCUGUAAAAAAGCUUGAGGAAGGUGGCUUGAGAUUCGUCUUAAGUGUUUAUAGCCUCUUGCCUAUGCAGUCGGAGAGAUUGAGGUCUGCAGCGUAGAUCCUUCGGGGCUAAAUGCAUUUGUGCUAAGUUAUAGCAUUUUAUAGACAACUUGUUGACUAUGAUUUGUCUUGUAGCUUACUCGCUUAUGUUAUUUUACCUACGCUUAGGAUGUUGAGUCGUAGAGCACGCAG
rnacentral:rRNA from 1 species